GGCAGGGAGUGUGGCACCACAAUCAAGCUGUAAACAAUUUGCCUUCAGUUUCCAACUUGAAGAACAAGUUCUCCUUUGUAACAAAAGCAGCGGCAAAGAGAAGGAAAGACGGAGCGCACCGAGUCCACUUUGUGCACUUUGCCCUCCUCCGAUUGAAGUUGUGUUACCUUGGAGCCGAGGACGAUCCAGAGUCGCCGUGGAGUCUCCGAUCCCUUCUCCAUACAAGGGAGGAGCGUGUACAUUUCUAUAUGGAAGAUAUCAUGGACGCCGCAAGACGUGGACGCCACACGAGCUCUGCAAAGAAAGAGCAUGAAAAGUGAGGGAAGCCGUCGCUUGAGUUGGAAAUCCAACUGUUUUGGAACCGUCCGCUUUCAAGAACAUCCUUCCAGCCGCAGAGCAGUGUAGAUGUGUAAUCUGCCUUGGAGAAGAAGAAAGAAGAGAGCCAAAGAGGAACAAGUAAAGUUACUGCUGAAUUGUUCACUUUGAAGUAUCCACUAUUCCCAAAGUUUCCUAGAAUUAUAACGUUGGAAGUGACCACACGAACCACCCAUUCCUGGUUAGGAAGGCUGUGACAGUGUGGACUUAUUGAUUGCGUUGAACGAAUGUGGGACAACCGUUGAGCUUUUUGGAAUCCCACCAUCGAUAGAGGUUUUAUGGAAUGGUUGGAGGAGGAUCCUAUGCUGGAAUAUUUGAAUUUAUGAUGUCCAACCGUGAUUCCUUC